UAACGCAAUGUGAUUUCUGCC
rnacentral:siRNA from 1 species